UAUCUGAUCUUGCAAGUGUGUGACCAUGAAGGCUUGGAGAGGAAGCAAUGUCAGACUUUGAAGAAGCUAGCACUGCUGGCUGUUAGCAACGUCUAUGUUUACCAGCUUAAUGACUAUGAAUGGACAAAUGAAAGAAUAAAA